UCCUAGCUGUAAACGCUGCUCGCUUGAUGUUGCAUCUUCUUCGGAAUAUGCAGCGUCGUAGUGAAAACGUUAAGCGAGCCGCCUGGGGAGUACGGUCGCAAGGCUGAAACUUAAAGGAAUUGGCGGGGGAGCACCACAAGGGGCGAAUGCUGCGGUUUAAUUGGAUUAUACGCCGGGAACCUUACCAGAGGCGACAGCAGAAUGAAGGUCUGUUUGAAGAGCAUACCUGACGC
rnacentral:rRNA from 1 species